AGAGUUUGAUCCUGGCUCAGGAUGAACGCUGGCGGCGUGCUUAACACAUGCAAGUCGAACGAUCCUUCGGGAUAGUGGCGGACGGGUGAGUAACGCGUGGGAAUCUGCCCUCAGGAGGGGGAUAACGGCUGGAAACGGCCGCUAAUACCCCAUAUGCCGAGAGGUGAAACGAAUUUCGCCUGAGGAUGAGCCCGCGUCUGAUUAGCUAGUUGGUGGGGUAAAGGCCCACCAAGGCGACGAUCAGUAGCUGGUCUGAGAGGAUGAUCAGCCACACUGGGACUGAGACACGGCCCAGACUCCUACGGGAGGCAGCAGUGGGGAAUUUUCCGCAAUGGGCGAAAGCCUGACGGAGCAACGCCGCGUGAGGGAUGAAGGCCUCUGGGCUGUAAACCUCUUUUCUCAAGGAAGAAGACCUGACGGUACUUGAGGAAUAAGCCACGGCUAAUUCCGUGCCAGCAGCCGCGGUAAUACGGGAGUGGCAAGCGUUAUCCGGAAUUAUUGGGCGUAAAGCGUCCGCAGGCGGCCUUGUAAGUCUGUUGUUAAAGCGUGGAGCUUAACUCCAUUUAAGCAAUGGAAACUACAAGGCUGGAGUGUGGUAGGGGCAGAGGGAAUUCCCGGUGUAGCGGUGAAAUGCGUAGAUAUCGGGAAGAACACCAGUGGCGAAGGCGCUCUGCUGGGCCAUAACUGACGCUCAUGGACGAAAGCCAGGGGAGCGAAAGGGAUUAGAUACCCCUGUAGUCCUGGCCGUAAACGAUGAACACUAGGUGUCGGGGGAAUCGACCCCCUCGGUGUCGUAGCCAACGCGUUAAGUGUUCCGCCUGGGGAGUACGCACGCAAGUGUGAAACUCAAAGGAAUUGACGGGGGCCCGCACAAGCGGUGGAGUAUGUGGUUUAAUUCGAUGCAACGCGAAGAACCUUACCAGGGUUUGACAUCCUGCGAACCCCUGAGAAAUCGGGGGGUGCCUUCGGGAGCGCAGAGACAGGUGGUGCAUGGCUGUCGUCAGCUCGUGUCGUGAGAUGUUGGGUUAAGUCCCGCAACGAGCGCAACCCACGUCUUUAGUUGCCAGCAUUCAGUUGGGCACUCUAGAGAGACCGCCGGUGAUAAACCGGAGGAAGGUGUGGAUGACGUCAAGUCAUCAUGCCCCUUACAUCCUGGGCUACACACGUACUACAAUGCUACGGACAAAGGGCAGCAAGCUCGCGAGAGUUAGCAAAUCCCAUAAACCGUGGCUCAGUUCAGAUCGUAGGCUGCAACUCGCCUACGUGAAGGAGGAAUCGCUAGUAAUCGCAGGUCAGCAUACUGCGGUGAAUACGUUCCCGGGCCUUGUACACACCGCCCGUCACACCAUGGAAGUUGGCCAUGCCCGAAGUCG
rnacentral:rRNA from 1 species